rnacentral:rRNA from 1 species
CAAUGGGCGAAAGCCUGACGCAGCGACGCCGCGUGAGGGAAGAAGGCCUUCGGGUUGUAAACCUCUUUCAGGAAGGACGAAGCCCCUCGGGUUAAUAGCCUAGAGGGUGACGGUACUUCCAGAAGAAGCCCCGGCUAACUACGUGCCAGCAGCCGCGGUAAUACGUAGGGGGCAAGCGUUGUCCGGAUUUAUUGGGCGUAAAGAGCGUGUAGGCGGCUUGGUAGGUCAGCUGUGAAAACUCGAGGCUCAACCUCGAGAUGUCGGUUGAAACCACCUGGCUAGAGUCCGGAAGAGGAGAAUGGAAUUCCCGGUGUAGCGGUGAAAUGCGCAGAUAUCGGGAAGAACACCCGUGGCGAAGGCGGUUCUCUGGGACGGUACUGACGCUGAGACGCGAAAGCGUGGGGAGCGAACAGGAUUAGAUACCCUGGUAGUCCACGCCGUAAACGAUGGGUGCUAGGUGUGGGGGGUGUCGACUCCCUCCGUGCCGAAGCUAACGCAUUAAGCACCCCGCCUGGCGAGUACGG